rnacentral:misc_RNA from 1 species
AAGUCGUAACAAGGUUUCCGUAGGUGAACCUGCGGAAGGAUCAUUAUCGAGUUUUUGAAAGAGGUUGUAGCUGGCCUUUUCGGGGCAUGUGCACGCCUUGCUCAAUUUCAAUACACACCUGUGCACACUUUGUAGGUUGGGGUCGGUGAAGAGGAGAUAUAAAUUUAUUUAAUCUCCUUUAAGCUGUGAUACCUUCCUAUGUUUUUAUUAUAAGCUCCUCCUGUUUGUAUCUGAAUGGACUUUGCGCUCUUAUUAUAACGCAUUAUAAAUAUAACUUUCAGCAACGGAUCUCUUGGCUCUC